rfam:Gossypium raimondii Chr06_contig_223, whole genome shotgun sequence.
UAUUAAAAAAUUAAUCCAUUUAUAUUAUUAAAAACUAACACGAUUGAUGGGAUAACAAGACAAUAACACAUGGUGUGUCACAUGUACCUCAUGUUGAUAUACAUAGACCAAUUUUUAACAAUAGAAAUAGAUGAAAUUUUUAACU